GGGACUAUAGUAUAAGCAGGUUAGUACGGUCGGCUCCAACCCGACAGUUCUGAGUUCAAAUCUCAGUAGUCCCA
rnacentral:tRNA from 1 species